rnacentral:tRNA from 1 species
CAGGAUUAGUGGGCCUCGAUCCCACAAAAAACAGUUAACAGCUGAACACCCAACCAAGAGGGCAUUAAUCCA